GCGUGGGUCGGCCCGCUGUACUGGAUCCAGUGGGCUGGGGGACACCGCCGCCUACAUCCCCGCGGGCGGCGGAACGGCCCGGGGGGCGAAGUGGCGUCUCCCGGGCUGCG
rnacentral:ncRNA from 1 species